GAAUCUCAGACACCAGGGGCAGACGGUUUUGUCCAGAGAGCAUCUCUUCCUAACAGUCCCUAAGAAGAAAGAAUCUAAAUCUCCUAUCAUUCCUCCUCAACCUCAGAGCAAUCUGGAUUCAAGUCCCCCCGCAGUCAUCAGAUUUUUAUUUAUUUGUGUGUGAAGAAUUUCCCAGAAAGGCACUCUCUGGUUCUUCCCUGCUCAGCCAUGACCUUGGUGUUCAUCUUGACGCUUGGGAUGCUUCUGUUCCUGAGAGGAACCGGAGCCCAGUCCCUGACCCAGCCUGACGUCCACCUCACUGUCUCCGAAGGAGACCGCCUGGAGCUGAGGUGCAACUAUUCCUCUACAGGAAUGACUUAUCUCUUCUGGUACGUGCAGCACCCCAACCAAGGACUCCAGCUCCUCCUCAAGCACUCUGCAGGGUCAUCAGAUGCCAUGGUUCAAGGCAUCAAAGGUUUUGAAGCUAAAUUUAAGAAAUCUGAAAAGUCCUUCCACCUGGAGAAACCCGCAGUCCAAUGGAACGAUGCGGCCAAGUACUUCUGUGCUGUGUGACAGGGUUGGAGGUGAAGCAGAGCCCCCCAGACCUGAGUCUCCGAGAGGGAGCCAGUUCCACACUGCAGUGUAAUUUUUCCACCUCUGUGAACAGGGUGCAGUGGUUUCGCCAAAAUCCUGGGGGCCACUUCACCCACUUGUUUUACAUUCCUUCUGGGACAAAGCAGAACGGAAGAUUAAGCUCUACGACAGUCGCAAAGGAUCGCCACAGCUCGCUGUACAUUUCCUCUUCCCGGACCACAGACUCAGCCAUUUAUUUCUGUGCCGCGGCGGAACCCACAGU